rnacentral:rRNA from 1 species
UCCAAGCCGUAAAUUAUGCUUGCUAGAUGUUUUCUCCAGUUUGGAGGGAGUGUCGUAAUCUAACGAGUUAAGCAAGCCGCCUGGGUAGUAUAUACGCAAGUAUGAAACUCAAAGGGAUAGGCGGGGGAACACACAAGCAGUGGAUUGUCUAGAUUAAUUGGAUAAUAAGCCAAAAAUCUCACCUAAACUUGACAUGUAUUGUGUCCUAUGUGAAAACAUAGUAGUCCGAGCAA